rnacentral:lncRNA from 1 species
GAAGCAUUCUCACCCAAGAUAGAAUCGCUGUUUUGGAAACUGGUGUUGGAUGACAUCACCUCUUGUUCACUCGAAAGAGUGAGCUCGAUUCCAGGCUCCAUAUUCAAGUCACUUCACAGGGCAAAGACGCGGACUAGAAGAAUGAUAUAGGACACCUUUUUGUCUUCUUGAGCUUCGGCUUAGUGUAUCACACAAAAGAGCAAGGCAUGACGGCACAGACAGGGUCCCUCAUCACUUCCACCAGUCCACAACGGGUCCCUGAAACAUCCAUAGCUGAGAACCAUUCGCAAGACAACGACAGUGGCUACAU